AGUCGAACGGCAGCACGGGAGCAAUCCUGGUGGCGAGUGGCGAACGGGUGAGUAAUACAUCGGAACGUGUCCUGGAGUGGGGGAUAGCCCGGCGAAAGCCGGAUUAAUACCGCAUACGCUCUAUGGAGGAAAGCGGGGGAUCGCAAGACCUCGCGCUCAAGGGGCGGCCGAUGGCAGAUUAGGUAGUUGGUGGGGUAAAGGCCUACCAAGCCGACGAUCUGUAGCUGGUCUGAGAGGACGACCAGCCACACUGGGGAUGAGACACGGCCCAGGAUCCUACGGGAGGCAGCAGUGGGGAAACUUUGGACAAUGGGCGCAAGCCUGAUCCAGCAAUGCCGCGUGUGUGAAGAAGGCCUUCGGGUUGUAAAGCACUUUUGUCCGGGAAGAAAUCCCUGGUCCUAAUAUGGCCGGGGGAUGACGGUACUGGAAGAAUAAGCACCGGCUAACUACGUGCCAGCAGCCGCGGUAAUACGUAGGGUGCGAGCGUUAAUCGGAAACUACUGGGCGUAAAGCGUGCGCAGGCGGUGAUGUAAGACCGAUGUGAAAUCCCCGGGCUUAACCUGGGAACUGCAUUGGUGGAUGCAUCGCUCGAGUAUGGCAGAGGGGGGUAGAAUUCCACGUGUAGCAGUGAAAUGCGUAGAGAUGUGGAGGAAACACCGAUGGCGAAGGCAGCCCCCUGGGUCAAUACUGACGCUCAUGCACGAAAGCGUGGGGAGCAAACAGGAUUAGAUACCCUG
rnacentral:rRNA from 1 species